UACGUAGGCAGCAAGCGUUGUUCGGAGUUACUGGGCGUAAAGGGUGUGUAGGCGGUUCUUUAAGUUUGGUGUGAAAUCUCCCGGCUCAACUGGGAGGGUGCGCCGAAUACUGAGGGACUAGAGUACGGGAGAGGAAAGUGGAAUUCCUGGUGUAGCGGUGAAAUGCGUAGAUAUCAGGAGGAACACCGGUGGUGUAGACGGCUUUCUGGGACCGACACUGACGCUGAGACACGAAAGCGUGGGUAGCAAACAGG
rnacentral:rRNA from 1 species